GCUGGGCAUCGUGGUGCAUACCUGUGGUCCCAGCUACUUGGGAGGCUGAGGCAGGAGGAUUGCUUGAGCCCUGGAGUUCGAGCCUGCAGUGAGCUGUGAUCACACCACUGCACUCCAGCCUGGGCAACAGAGUGAGACCCUGUCUCUA
rfam:Gorilla gorilla gorilla genomic chromosome, chr5, whole genome shotgun sequence